CCUACGGGCGGCUGCAGUGGGGAAUAUUGGACAAUGGGGGAAACCCUGAUCCAGCAAUGCCGCGUGUGUGAAGAAGGCCUGCGGGUUGUAAAGCACUUUCGGUUGGGAAGAAAAGUUUGGCGCCAAUACCGCCGAACCUUGACGUUACUGACAGAAGAAGCACCGGCUAACUCUGUGCCAGCAGCCGCGGUAAUACAGAGGGUGCAAGCGUGAAUCAGAGCGUCUGGGCGUAAAGAUUCAGUAGGGGUUUGAAAUCCCCGGGCUUAACCUGGGAACUGCAUUCGAUACUACAUGGCUAGAGUAUGGUAGAGGGAAGUGGAAUUUCCGGUGUAGCGGUGAAAUGCGUAGAUAUCGGAAGGAACACCAAUGGCGAAGGCAGCUUCCUGGACUAAUACUGACACUGAGGCACGAAAGCGUGGGUAGCAAACAGGAUUAGAUACCCCAGUAGUC
rnacentral:rRNA from 1 species